rnacentral:lncRNA from 1 species
GCUGGUGUGUGUUUGGCGAGAGUCUGAAAUGGCCCCGUGAUGUGGGGAGAACUACUGGAAGUUCCAUCCACCUCGCGGACUCGAUGACCCGGCCAUCCCACAUCCUGUUUGUCCAAGAUAGGGGGGAACUUGUGUUCAACGAGACUUUAUUUUAGGAAAGAAGGACAAGGAAGGAGGUGGACCAGCAGGAGAGACGCGGCAGAGGAACUGCUCCCCUGGACCCCUUGGCCACGAAGAGGCACAGCUUCUACCUCAUGGAGAAUCGAUGCAAAGUGGACUUACGGGGACGUAAGACCGUGGGCCUCAACGCAAAGGACAAAGUUAGUGUCUUUAAUCUGCGUUGGGGGAAUUCUCCAUCCCGCACUGGCUGAGCCCAGAGAAGACUGGAAAACGGAAAAAGAGGACUCUAGGAAAUUCCCAAUAGGGAACAAUGCGUCUGCUUCAGAGUGUCAACGUGAAAAGCUGCCAUCAGCAAGGAGAAUCUUCCUAAAACAGUGUCCGCAAAGGGUCUUUAGACCAGCCUCGUAAUAACAGUGCAGAAAAUGAGAAAUGAAGAGGUGAAGAUGAUAAUCAAGACAGGAGAACAGUGCCCACGCCGUGAGUUUGGAACAAAGAAGAUCAGUACAGGUUGGUGCCCAAAAAUGUCUCGUGAGUAGACCAGCCGUACUUUCCAACCAUGCAGAUGAUUUUGUGACCCACGG